UACGGGGGGGGGCAAGCGUUGUUCGGAAUUACUGGGCGUAAAGGGCUCGUAGGCGGCCAACUAAGUCAGACGUGAAAUCCCUCGGCUUAACCGGGGGAACUGCCUCUGAUACUGGAUGGCUUGAGAUUGGGAGAGGGAUGCGGAAUUCCAGGUGUAGCGGUGAAAUGCGUAGAUAUCUGGAGGAACACCGGUGGCGAAGGCGGCAUCCUGGACCAACACUGACGCUGAGGAGCGAAAGCCAGGGGAGCAAACGGG
rnacentral:rRNA from 1 species